rnacentral:rRNA from 1 species
CGGUAGCACAGAAGAGCUUGCUCUUCGGGUGACGAGCGGCGGACGGGUGAGUAAUGUCUGGGAAACUGCCUGAUGGAGGGGGAUAACUACUGGAAACGGUAGCUAAUACCGCAUAAUGUCGCAAGACCAAAGAGGGGGACCUUCGGGCCUCUUGCCAUCAGAUGUGCCCAGAUGGGAUUAGCUAGUAGGUGGGGUAACGGCUCACCUAGGCGACGAUCCCUAGCUGGUCUGAGAGGAUGACCAGCCACACUGGAACUGAGACACGGUCCAGACUCCUACGGGAGGCAGCAGUGGGGAAUAUUGCACAAUGGGCGCAAGCCUGAUGCAGCCAUGCCGCGUGUAUGAAGAAGGCCUUCGGGUUGUAAAGUACUUUCAGCGAGGAGGAAGGCAUUGUGGUUAAUAACCACAGUGAUUGACGUUACUCGCAGAAGAAGCACCGGCUAACUCCGUGCCAGCAGCCGCGGUAAUACGGAGGGUGCAAGCGUUAAUCGGAAUUACUGGGCGUAAAGCGCACGCAGGCGGUCUGUCAAGUCGGAUGUGAAAUCCCCGGGCUCAACCUGGGAACUGCAUUCGAAACUGGCAGGCUAGAGUCUUGUAGAGGGGGGUAGAAUUCCAGGUGUAGCGGUGAAAUGCGUAGAGAUCUGGAGGAAUACGGUGGCGAANGCGGCCCCCUGGACAAGACUGACGCUCAGUGCGAAGCGUGGGAGCAACAGGAU